AUGAUAAACCAACAAUGAAACUUCCAAACUGAAACUAUAUCAAAAGAUAUUUAAAUAUAUUCUCUGAGCUUAAAAACAACAUUUUAAAAUAACUAUUGUUAUUAUUAUUAAAAGGUAAAUUGCGUGAAUGAAAGAAUACAGACGAAAGUAAAAAACAAACAUAAUAACUGAUACAAUCACAGCUGUAAUACCUUGUCCUCCCUGAUCAAUAAUGGUAUCAGUUUCACUCUGUUGGUAUUGAUGACUGGUAUAGGUCUCACUCUGAUGGUAUUGAUGGCUGGUAUAGGUCUCACUCUGCUGGUAUUGAUGGCUGGUAUAGGUCUCACACUCUGAUGGUAUUGAUGGAUGGUAUAGGUCUCACUCUGAUGGUAUUGAUGGCUGGUAUAGGUCUCACACUCUGAUGGUAUUGAUGGCUGGUAUAGGUCUCACUCUCUGAUGGUAUUGAUGGAUGGUAUAGGUCUCACUCUGAUGGUAUUGAUGGCUGGUAUAGGUCUCACUCUGAUGGUAUUGAUGGAUGGUAUAGGUCUCACACUCUGAUGGUAUUGAUGGAUGGUAUAGGUCUCACACUCUGAUGGUAUUGAUGGAUGGUAUAGGUCUCACACUCUGCUGGUAUUGAUGGAUGGUAUAGGUCUCACACUCUGAUGGUAUUGAUGGCUGGUAUAGAUCUCACACUGCUGGUAUUGAUGGCUGGUAUAGGUCUCACUCUGAUGGUAUUGAUGGCUGGUAUAGGUCUCACACUCUGAUGGUAUUGAUGGCUGGUAUAGGUCUCACUCUGCUGGUAUUGAUGGCUGGUAUAGGUCUCACACUCUGAUGGUAUUGAUGGAUGGUAUAGGUCUCACACUCUGAUGGUAUUGAUGGCUGGUAUAGGUCUCACUCUGAUGGUAUUGAUGGCUGGUAUAGGUCAUUUACAUUUACAUUUACAUUUAAGUCAUUUAGCAGACGGUCUCACACUCUGCUGGUAUUGAUGGCUGGUAUAGGUCUCACUCUGCUGGUAUUGAUGGAUGGUAUAGGUCUCACUCUGCUGGUAUUGAUGGCUGGUAUAGGUCUCACUCUGCUGGUAUUGAUGGCUGGUAUAGGUCUCACUCUGCUGGUAUUGAUGGAUGGUAUAGGUCUCACUCUGCUGGUAUUGAUGGCUGGUAUAGGUCUCACUCUGCUGGUAUUGAUGGAUGGUAUAGGUCUCACUCUGCUGGUAUUGAUGGAUGGUAUAGGUCUCACUCUGCUGGUAUUGAUGGCUGGUAUAGGUCUCACUCUGCUGGUAUUGAUGGAUGGUAUAGGUCUCACUCUGCUGGUAUUGAUG